AAUGUCUCAAUCGACUCAUCAACAACCUCUCCAUGUGAGGUUACUUAGGUUUACUAAGUUCUUGUCCACAAGGCAUUUUCUAAGGGAUCCACCUAUCCCUAGGUUCUCAAACCUCUAGUGUUAUUUACACUACAUUAAUGCCACUCGUCAUCAUUUAACAUUUGGAUGCCACUCGUUUGUUCUUUAACAUUAACAAUACUUUCUAU
rnacentral:lncRNA from 1 species